CUACGGGUUGCAGCAGUGGGGAAUAUUGCACAAUGGGCGCAAGCCUGAUGCAGCCAUGCCGUGUGUAUGAAGAAGGCCUUCGGGUUGUAAAGUACUUUCAGCGGGGAGGAAGGGAGUAAAGUUAAUACCUUUGCUCAUUGACGUUACCCGCAGAAGAAGCACCGGCUAACUCCGUGCCAGCAGCCGCGGUAAUACGGAGGGUGCAAGCGUUAAUCGGAAUUACUGGGCGUAAAGCGCACGCAGGCGGUUUGUUAAGUCAGAUGUGAAAUCCCCGGGCUCAACCUGGGAACUGCAUCUGAUACUGGCAAGCUUGAGUCUCGUAGAGGGGGGUAGAAUUCCAGGUGUAGCGGUGAAAUGCGUAGAGAUCUGGAGGAAUACCGGUGGCGAAGGCGGCCCCCUGGACGAAGACUGACGCUCAGGUGCGAAAGCGUGGGGAGCAAACAGGAUUAGAUACCCGCGUAGUC
rnacentral:rRNA from 1 species